UACGAAGGGGGCUAGCGUUGUUCGGAAUCACUGGGCGUAAAGGGCUCGUAGGCGGCCAACUAAGUCAAACGUGAAAUCCCUCGGCUUAACCGGGGAACUGCGUCUGAUACUGGAUGGCUUGAGAUUGGGAGAGGGAUGCGGAAUUCCAGGUGUAGCGGUGAAAUGCGUAGAUAUCUGGAGGAACACCGGUGGCGAAGGCGGCAUCCUGGACCAACACUGACACUGAGGAGCGAAAGCCAGGGGAGCAAACGGG
rnacentral:rRNA from 1 species